UGACACAGGGAGGUAGUGACAAGAAAUAACAAUACAGGGCAUUAAUGUCUUGUACUUGGAAUGAGUUAAAUUUAAACCCCUUAACGAGUAACAAUUGGAGGGCAAGUCUGGUGCCAGCAGCCGCGGUAAUUCCAGCUCCAAUAGCGUAUAUUAAAGUUGUUGCAGUUAAAAAGCUCGUAGUUGAAUUUCUAGUCAGUUAAUUUGGAGGUCUCCUUCACUUUAGCUGGCUAUUCGACACUGAACCAUGCCGGUUAUUAAGUUAACCCCAUGGAGAAUUGUCAUUUUACUUUGAAAAAAUUAGAGUGUUUCAGGCAGGCAAUUGCCCGGAUAUCUUAGCAUGGAAUAAUGGAAUAGGACUUUGGUUCAUUUUAUUGGUUAUUGAAUCAGAGUAAUGAUUAAUAGGGACAGUUGGGGGCAUUAGUAUUUAAUUGUCAGAGGUGAAAUUCUUGGAUUUAUUAAAGACUAACUUAUGCGAAAGCAUUUGCCAAGGAUGUCUUCAUUAAUCAAGAGCGAAAGUUAGGGGAUCAAAGACGAUCAGAUACCGUCCUAGUCUUGACUAUAAACUAUACCGACUCAGGAUUGGCCAUGUUUAAACUUGGUCAGCACUGUAUGAGAAAUUAAAGUCUUUGGGUUCUGGGGGGAGUAUGGUCGCAAGGCUGAAACUUAAAGGAAUUGACGGAAGGGCACCACCAGGAGUGGAGCCUG
rnacentral:rRNA from 1 species